GGGGCUGGCUGGGGUCCUUUUUCCCCACCGCCUUUCGGGUGGGGGGCGAAGGAGGGCUGGGUGGUGAUUAAUAACCGCGGCGCUGGGGCGCGGGGAGGAGCGCGCGCUGAGAACGGGGCGGGCGUGGUGCGUGGUGGAGCGCGGGCGGGACCCUCGUGGGUGGAGGGCUGGCGGCGGCCCCGGCUCCUCUUCUCCCGGGCGCCGCCACCCCAGGCCCGCGGGCUCCCGGGCUCCGGCCACCUGCGCCCCGCCCCUGCGGCCGCGCCCCAGCCCCGGAACCGCGGAGGCGCGCCUCCGCCUCGGGAAGGGCGAGGUUCCCGUCCCGAUGCGCGGAUUUGUCUCCGGGCAGUAGCCCCGCCGUUCUCGGCAUGCGGCUGCGCUGAGAGCCGGCGCGCCCGCGGAUCCGGGGAGCCGGGCAUUGGUUCCCUUUCCCUGCUGUGUGAGAAGGUGGACCUGCAGCCGGCAGGAUGACCAACCCUGCGGCCGCGCAGAACCAGGAAAUAGACUGUCUGAGCCCAGAAGCUCAGAGACUGGCGGAGGCCAGGCUGGCGGCAAAGCGCGCGGCACGAGCAGAGGCCCGAGAGAUCCGGAUGAAGGAGCUGGAGCGGCAGCAGAAGGAGAUCUAUCAGGUUCAAAAGAAAUAUUAUGGGCUGGAUACAAAGUGGGGCGACAUCGAGCAAUGGAUGGAAGACAGUGAGCGCUACUCCCGUAGAUCCAGAAGAAGCACGUCGGCAUCUGAUGAAGAUGAGCGCGUGUCAGUGGGUAGCCGUGGAAGUCUGAGGUCGCAGCCUGACUUGGAGUACGGGGGUCCCUACGCUUGGACAAAUGGUUAUGAUGGAGAAUUAUCACAGCCCCUGAAUAGAAGAUCUGGCAGGAAUUCCAGCUACGGCGGUGACAGCAGAUUCUCUACUUUGUCAUCAUCCAGAGAGGACACCUUGGGACUUUCCUGCUCCGACUUCGGGCUUCUCAGUCGUGGCCUUGCUCCCAAACCCCUGUCUGCCCAGAAUGGAAACCGGCCCUCCUAUAUGUACGGCGCUGCCCGGCCGGCUGGGAGUUACCGGGCGUCUGUGUCGGAUGAGAGCAGUCUCGGUGGGGCUCGGCGGAGCAGUGCCUGCGGUUCCCACGCUCUGGGUGGGCAGCCCUCGGAGCACGGCGGCCACUUCAAGUCCAGCUCGCGCACCUCCUCGAGAGCCAGCUCGGCGCGGGCCAGCCCAGUGGUUGAAGAGAGACCAGAAAAAGACUUCACGGAGAAGGGGUCUCGUGGCCUGCCCGGCCUGUCUGCAGCCACACUGGCCUCGCUGGGUGGGACUUCCUCUCGAAGGGGCAGCGGGGACACCUCCAUCUCCAUUGACACUGAGGCCUCCAUUAGGGAAAUCAAGGAACUCAAUGAGUUAAAGGACCAGAUUCAGGAUGUAGAAGGCAAAUACAUGCAGGGAUUGAAAGAGAUGAAGGACUCACUAGCAGAAGUUGAAGAAAAAUAUAAGAAGGCCAUGGUUUCCAAUGCUCAGCUAGACAAUGAGAAGACAAACUUUAUGUACCAGGUCGAUAUGCUGAAGGACAUGAUGCUGGAGCUUGAAGAGGAGCUGGCUGAGUCCAAGCGGCAGUGCGAGGAGAAGAGCAAAGAAUUUGAAAGGGAAAAGCAUGCCCACAGUAUCCUCCAGUUUCAGUUUGCUGAGGUGAAAGAGGCCCUGAAGCAAAGAGAAGAAAUGCUUGAGGAAAUCCGACAGCUACAGCAGAAACAGGCGAGUUAUAUCAGGGAGAUUUCUGAUCUUCAGGAAACAAUAGAAUGGAAAGACAAAAAGAUAGGGGCGUUAGAGAGGCAGAAAGAGUUCUUUGAUUCCAUAAGGAGUGAACGAGACGAUCUUAGAGAAGAAGUAGUCGUGCUGAAAGAGGAAUUAAAGAAACAUGGAGUAAUCCUAAAUUCAGAAAUAGCUACCAAUGGAGAGACUUCAGACUCUCUAAAUAAUGUUGGCUACCAAGGUUCUACAAAGAUGACAAAGGAAGAGUUAAAUGCCCUCAAGGCAACAGGGGAUGGGACGCUAGGCAGAGCCAAUGAAGUGGAGGUGAACAAUGAAAUGGUGGAGAAUGAGGGGAAAAGAGAAAUCUUGCAGAACACUGAGCAAAGACCGCACAAAGAGGACCCAGGAGAGGACUCUGUGGACACAGAGGUGUUACAUCCUGGUGACAAUGCCGAGGACCAGAAAACCUCUGAAGACAGUGCCCCCUCCCCAGGAACGUUAGUAAAUCCUGAGAACGCGGAACAGGUUCAAAGCCAAAUUCUGGAGAACGCUUCCUUCUUUGAAAACACACAGCAGGUUGAGUCAAGUGAGGUCAUAAACAGUGAACUAGAUGGUGAAAUCCCAGGUCCUAGGAUUGGGCAGGGCAGCAGUAAUGCUUUGGAUGUCAAAAACCAAAGUAAAGAAUCUGCAGAAGAGUGGGAGAAAGAAAAACAGGAAGAUUUUGAAACCAACUUGGAAGAGAUUAGCAUAGAGCCACAUCAGGAAUCUGCUCCUUUGCAAAUACCUGAAGUUGGAAGGGAGAGCAGUGCAGACACUGGGGAGCAGAGUGGGAACCCCGCAGAGGCUGUGCCAGAGGCGGGCCUCACCGGAUCGGGGGAGCAGGUGGGCACAGUAGCCUCAGGUCCUCCGAGGGGUAUCGAUGACACAGUGAGUCACCGUGAAAAAUGGGAGGUAGAUGCUCCAGAAGGCUUGGACCCAAGCUCAGGGCAUGAUUUAGAGAAAGAACUCACCAACCAGGAAGUAGCUGAGCCCAAGGAGGUCCCAAUUCAGAGCACAGAGGUAGGUGGGGAGAACAAUGAAGAGGAGGGUAAAGGAAGAAAAUUAAGGGAUGAGAAACCAGUCAAGCUGGAAGUCCAAGCCAUUCCUUGUUCUCCAGAAGCCAAAAGCAGUCCUCAGGAGGUGACAGGUCCAAGUACGGUAGAUGCUGAAGGUGAACCCCUAGGUGUGAAAGAGCCCGAUGAAGAAAAGAAUGACCAACCGGGAGAGGCACUGGAUUCGUCGCACAAGAAAACGAAGAACAAGAAAAAGAAAAACAAGAAGAAAAAAUCACCAGCACCUGUAGAAACCAAAGAUGUUCAGAAAGAGUUAACAUUUCAAAACCCAGAUUUAAGAGAAGUGAAAGAAGAGCAGGUAAAAUUUACUGACAAAAAACCAGUUGUAGAAGCACAGAAUGAGGUCACUAAAAACCCAAAACAGAACACUGCGGUAGGAAGCAGUAAAAAUGCCGAUGGUCCAGAAAAUCCUAAAAUUGAGUUGGAUGGAGGACUUAACCAAGACGAUUUUGGUGUAAACGCUAAGACAGGGAAAGCAGUCGCUGAUGGGGACACGUUGGAUUUUGAAGAUAAUACAGUUCAGUCAUCAGGCACCAGUGCCAGUAAUAAAGAAUUAGAGGAAGGUGCUAUAAAAGAUGAUUCUGAAGAAGAUAGCACCACUCCCAGCCAUCCUCCAGGUCCAGACGAUGAGGAAGUGCCAGGCAGCACCCCGCUCCAAGACGAAGGUCCCUCAAAGAACAUUAGCGAUGCCUGUCAAACAGAAGGCACAGAAGAGCAUGUGACAUCAGAAAAUGUAGGUCAGACCAUCAGGAAGGUCUCAGAUAGCGUUAGUCUAGAACAUGAUGACGUGGCACCAGCAGGCGAGGCGGGGGACUCUAAUUCAGAAAGCAAGGAAGAGAUGACAGGUGGACACGGGAGGGGCAGAAGCAAAGAGGACUGUACCUUGUCGUAGGUUGAGGCGGGGCCUUAGGGAGGGGCCAGGACUGCACAGCAAGUCCAACUGUGAGAGACUCCACCGGUGAGACUCAGAAAAUGGUCUAGAUUGGUAUAGAUGCACCGAAUGACAAUCCACCACCAAGUUAUCUAAUCCUUGAAGCUAUAGACUGUUACCUGUAGAUUUCUAUUUCAUCACUGAGGUUAUCACACAGAUGAGAAGGACACUUCUGUUAUUAGAGUUAGUUCUAAUGGAGAGCAUUCCAAGAGCAUCAAACAAUAAUGUACACUGUUUUAUUCCUGCUUAAAAUCAGCAUCAAAAUAUUUCGCUUUUGCCUUAAGCUGAUAUGAAUGUGCAUAUUCUUGACCAAAAGUAUCAGCAUCUAAUUGAAGUGACCAAAUAGUAUCCUGAGAUUUCCACAUUAUGAGUAUGAUUUAAAUGAAGGUGUCUCAUUUAAAUAUAUGUGCUUUCAUAUUUGAUCUUGAUAUGUAUAAUAUAACCUGUAUGGUAUUUUAUUUAAAAGGUACAUAAAUGGCCAAACAGCCUAUAGGUCACUGAGUGAUGAGAUUUGCAUGUUAGGACAGUAAUUAAUCAUGUUAGGGAUAGCAAAUAAACAUCUUACAGCACUAGGGAUAACUUACUUGCUUUUACCUCAUAUAAGGAUUUUAUCUCAGACCAAUACUUUUGGAUCUCAUUCUUGAGGAUACCUGAAUUUAUUUUGUAGGAGAUUUUGACUUCCUGACAGUUAUGUACCAAAGUCAUUUUAUACAAAGACUUUUUUUUUUUUUUUAAUUUUUUUCUGGAAGAGAUACAUGUUGUAAUUGCAUUUCCUACUGCAGUAUUUGGGCAGGGAGAAUCAUUUCUAAAAUUUAUUUUUUUAACCUUAAAAUUACUUCUCUUUGUAUUUGUUUCAUCAUUAUUCAGUAGAGCAAGACAAAAGGAUGCUAUUCUUGUGCAAACUUCUGAUUAGACUCUAACAGGAUAUUUUAAAUAGUUGAAUCACUUGGUAUUUUGGUAUAAAUAUUUUCAUUUGUUGUUUUUCAGUAUAUUCUUACCGGAAAUUUCUUGUUUUGAUCUUCCUGAACAAGAUAUAUAUUUUCUAUAUAAAGAAACAUUUUAAAAAUAAUUGUAAAGUUAAAUAAAAAACCAUUAUAAAAUAUUAAAAUUACAGGGGAAUGUACAGUUUGAAUGCUGUUGACACUUUAUGAGAUCGUAUGACUUCGUAUUAUUGUUACAAGAUAUAAUUGAGUGCAAAAAUGACCAAUACCUCAACAAAAUUUGAAAUAAAAACAUUUUAUAAUUUUACAAGCCUGUGAUCACUCUUGUGCUACUUGAAUUCUGGCUGUGGCUAUAUAAUAUCAUCUUUAAUCUACUUUUAUCUACUUCUGGGUUGCUAAUUCCCAGUUGGGGUUCUAUGGAGGACUCAUGCGUAAUAUCCAUUGUCAGUAGUGAAUAGCUUCUCUCCCGGCAUCUAGACUGGGACUAGUGUUGGACCAUCCUUGAGUAAGAUCUUUCCUCAUAGAAUCUCCUGUGGUCUGUGGUUCUGAUGAAGAGCCCAGUUGAGAAAGGUCUCCAUCUUGUUGCUUUGCUUACAGGUGCCAAUACUUAGAAUGUUUUGAAGAGGAUGAUGAGAAUUUCAAAUAAACAUUGACUAUUUCUGCAUAAGUGUCCUGAAGCAGAGGAUAAUGGGACUGAUCAAUUCUCUCCACUUGUGCCAUAUAAAUAGAAAACUAUGGGACUUGCUAGAGAAUCAAGUCCAAGGGCUGCAAAGGAGUUUAAAGUUGGUAUCUCUAACUUUAGCAAAGCUGCUUUCAUACCGGAAUGCACAUUGGGAAACAGCUCUCCUUCCUACUUUUAAAGGCCUCUGGGGAAGUGAUUCAACAGCCAAACUCACUCAGUGGUGAGAUCAUCAAACCAUUUUAAGUUCUUUCCUUUCUUUCCCAUGUUAUUCAACAGCACAUUUAAGGGCAUUAUUAUAGGCUUCCCAUCCCUCCAGCCAGCCAGCCAGCAGUCUCAAGUGUUCAUCCCUCAUUUAAUCAAUAAACAUGUAGAUCACUUCCUAUAUGGAAGGUGCUCUGCCCAUGAACAAACACAUAGGACCCAAUCUCUAGUGGAAGCAGCAGAGAAUUGGAAAGUCAGCAAAAAAAAAGAUAAGGAUUCUGAAGAGCCAAACCAUCCCUGAUAAUCUAAGAGCCUUCACUAUGAACAUCAAUUACUCUGCUCCGAGGGCUAGAUGAUAUUACAGCCCCACACAGUAAUUAAUGUACACGCGAAGGCCCCUGAAUUAUCAAGAAAUGGUUACCUCUGGUAUAUUCAGCGUAGGAAGGCGUGGAAGUAUAUAAGGCAAUUUGGAAAGAUUGCAAUGUCAAACAACUCAGACUCAGAAAAGAAUCAAAAGGUGACCUGUCAGCCACAACCCCAGAGGAACCUGGACCACUGAGGUUUCACUAUAAGGCAGAACAGAGAAAAGCAUCGAUCACUGAUACUUUAAAUCAAAAAGCUGGGGUAUUUUUCAACCCCAAACCAGAACACGCCUACUGUAUGUAAAAUGUUAAUCUUCCUUCCAAAGUAUGUAAAUAUAAUUGUGAGUUUCUGUAAAAAAUAAGGAAAGGUAACAGAAUUUUGAAUUAUAGGCUAUUUUAUAACAUACAAAGGUUGGGAAGCAGUAAAAUUUUUGAAAAGAGUGUUUAAGAAUGGGAUAUCUUGGCAUUGACUACUUUCUAUAACAUUGAGUAUUUCCAAUUAAUGGAAAACCUAAUGACCUGAACAUUUAAAUUUCCACUGUCACUAGGACCCUGGAAUGCUGCUUCUGGGUGUUUAGACAGUUUAGGGUUCCUGUUUUCUAUUGAUAGAUUCCUUUUCUAGGAGACCGCCUUGUAUGACGUGCCGCCAUGGCCAUCGAAACAAGGGAACACAACAGUAAGAUUCAUUCCAAAUGUCCGGGCUCCAGAAGGAAAGGAAGGGGUGUUUGUGAGCGUGCCACAUACAGAAUACGUGCUUAUUCAGUGUGCUGAUCUUAUAUAGGGAGUACAGUCUUGCAGGAGAAAAACCCUUUCGCGCUCUCCCUUUCACCCUCUCUGCCCCUCUUACAUCAAAGACGAACGAAUUUUUUGAGACGUGAAAGGCUUCAGCUGUUGGGCUGAACUGAAGCAGCAGCUGCUGUAGGGAGUUGCCAUCUGUACAGACCUCUUCAGCAGCCUGGCCCUGUUCUGCCUUUUACAGGAAGGAGGGGCGAUCCUGGCGUGGGAGGCUAGCCCUGGGGAAGUUGAAAACUGACCACAUGGAUUAUAAUCAAAUUAAGUCAGGGCAAGGAGGGAGCGGAGAAGGGACCACACUCAGUGGAUUUCUUGAGAUGUCAGUCUCGUGAUCAUUAUCUUUGCGAAUAUGGAGGGAGGUGACUUUCUCUGCCAUGGGGAGAGGAGGCCCCGGAUUGGAUGAAAUUAACCCACAGAAUGAAAAUUAUCCUCCUGACAAUAUAUUAUUAUGAGUAAGCUCCUUACCCUUACUGUGUCUCAUUUUACUCUCUGAAAUUGGGGUUAGAACCUGCCUUUUAGAGUGGUGGUGAGGAUCAGACCCAGUAAAGCGCUAGAGAGUAAGUGCCGAGUGACCAUGGUUGUUGCUGGUGGUUGACCUUUGCAGCCUGGACAGACGCGGUCACAACACGCAAGCCCCUCUGGAGCAGGGCUGGGGGUCCCGGUGCUUGCUUGCUGCCCCUGUGACUGUCUGUAUGACCUCACCACUUUGUUUCUUGUUUCCCGGGUCUCUAAAGUUCACACCAGAAAGUGUGGUGGAAUUUAAUAUAUAAAAACCAGAUUUUUAAAAAAUGUAAUCCUUUAACAAUGUUACUAAAAUAACUUUAAUUGCCAAUUGAUUUUAACUUCCCAGUGUAAAAGAAAACUCUGAGUUUGAGACAGUGUGACUUCAUUUCUUUAAUGCUGAUCAUUUGGGUGUUAGAGACCAAUGAUGAGCAAGGCUGCUUAGUGCGUAUAGGUUUGCAGCACUCUUGCUCAGUAUCACAGUAAUUACCAGUCAUGCAACACUGUUCACUUCACAGGUUAGACUUGUUGACUUUUAAGACUGUAAAAUAAACAGCACUCAUUUUCAUUUCUUUUUUUAAUUUUUUUUUAUUGAAGUAUAGUUGGUUUACAAUAUUAUGUUCAUUUCAGGUGUAUAACAUAGUGUUUCAAUAUUUUUAUAGAUUACACUCUAUUUAAAGUUAUUAUGAUAUAGUGACUAUAUUUCCUGUGCUGUGCAAUAUACCUUUGUAGCUUAUUUAUUUUAUACAUAGUAGUUUGUACCUCUUAAUGCUCUACUCCAUCUUGCCCCUCUCUCCUUCCCUCUCCCCAGUGGUAGCCACUAGUUACCAUCUGUGAGUCUGUUUCUAUUUUGUUAUAUUCAUUCGUUUGUUUUAUUUUUCAAAUUCUACAUGUAAGUGAUAACAUAUACUGUCUGUCUUUCCCUGACUUAUUUCAGUGCUUAUUUUCUUUAUAUCAAACAAUUUUGCUUCUUUCUUUUUUCCAGUUUCCUGAAACUAUUUAGUUUUAAUCUUCUCCACUUCUGCUUUAAAAUUUCUCUUCCUUAAAACUUCCAUUUGUCUCUCUCCAUUUUUCAUAUUUUCACUAUAAGACUAAAGGUCAGAUUGCUCUUGUUUUUUAUUGUUAGCACUAUUAUUACAAUUUAACAUUUUUUUUACUUUCUGUCUAAGAUAUUUGAAGUCUUCUAAUAGAAAAAAUAAUAAUAAAAUUGUAAAUAGAUAUGUGAGCCUCAAAUCACCUUCUGAUAUAUUCAGUGUUUCUUAUGAUGCCUGUGGUUUUUGUAUAUAGGAAUAUAAAAUAUACAAGAUAAAAUGAAAAGUGAUAUUGAAUAAGAGAGCCAGGUUUUUAAUUUAUUUUUGAUUUUUGUUUCAGUGUUGGGUGCAUUUAUGGAAGGGACAGAGUAAAACAUCUGUCAGAAGCAGUUUGUGUGUAAAUUAAAAUGGAACUCAAAAGGAUUAUAAAUGUAUCUUAUACAUAACAUUUUCUAUUUUCAUUUAUUUUGUUAUUGUGCCUUUCAAAAUAGCAAUUUAGGAUGUUUGGAAAAACAAUCAGCGAAAACACGUAACUUGGAUUAGAAUGUGGAUAGAUGAUUUUUUUAAUGAAAACAAAGGUGCGUUUUGUAUGAAUUAUUUCCAUUUCACACAGCUAAUCAAAACCUGGGAAGAAGAGCCUCAGGCCAGGAGUCCGGUCUGACUCAGAGGGCUGUGUUUAGGAAAACAGUGGGUGCAGGGGUUAGGGGUGCAGCCCUGGGGCCUUAGGAAAGCUGCUGGGCCUGGUCCUCAUCUGUCGAAGAGGGAUGUGGCAGCAGUGCCCACCUGGAGGGCUUCGCGGGAGGUGGUGUGAGCGGCUGGGACAGUGCCUGGCACACAGUGAGGGCACAGCACCCUUGAGCACCCACCACCAUCAUGUCGUCCUGAUUUUGCCUUGAAACUGGUGUAGGAUUUUGCCCCUAAAGUCCUCCCUGGGUCUUGGUUUCCUCUCUGUAGUCUGGAGAAUGUUUUACUCAAUGCCCCUUCAGAGAGAUGUUUGGGGGAUUUCUAGGUGCUUACAUAUAUGCAGACUUCUAUAUCUGGGGUGGGAAGAAUGACAGAAACCUAAGUUAUUACUGCGUUCUUCCUCAAAAGAAGAGCAACAAGUGGGUUACGGGAUGUGUUGUCGGCACACUUAGGGUUCAUAAGCAGAGUCAGAACUCUGACAUUGGUGAGUCUUUGAGAGAAAUGAGGAAGAUCGACCCUUGGGGGAUGGAAACUUGGAAAGUCAAGGCUAACGAAAAUGCUGGUGAUAUUUGAUCCCGAUUCUCAGUGUGUUUGUACCUUGCUAAUGAUGUUAAACCGUGAAGCCUUGUGAGAUCUUGUGUUGCAGUGUGGUUUGGCCCUAGAGCUCUUGCAUGCUAACCCAGAGUAGAAGAUUAGCCUGUUUGCAUGCAGCCGGAUGCUGCCCUGACGAGACAAGCAUGUGCGGGAGGUUGACGCAGUUCACCCCCCUUGGCUGAAUUCCUCCCCCAUCCUGUCUGUGGCCUCAUUCGCUGUGAUAUUAGGUUGAAAAAGCUUGUUGAUGAACGGGAAUGCUUAUUGGAACAGAUUAAGAAACUCAAAGGGCAGCUGGAAGAGAGACAGAGGAAUAUCAGAUUAGACAGUCUGCACCCGGAAGAUGGGAUCUUACAAAACGGG